rnacentral:rRNA from 1 species
UACGAGGGGGGCGAGCGUUGUUCGGAAUUAUUGGGCGUAAAGGGUGCGUAGGCGGCCUGACAAGUCUGAUGUGAAAUCCCUGGGCUCAACCCAGGGCCUGCAUCGGGAACUGUCGGGCUUGAGUAUGGGAGAGGUGAGUGGAAUUUCCGGUGUAGCGGUGAAAUGCGUAGAUAUCGGAAGGAACACCUGUGGCGAAAGCGGCUCACUGGACCAUUACUGACGCUGAGGCACGAAAGCUAGGGGAGCAAACAGG